AAUGAACGUUGGCGGCGUGGAUUAGGCAUGCAAGUCGUGCGGAAAGGCUCCUUCGGGAGUACUCGAGCGGCGAAAGGGAGAGUAACGCGUGGAUAUCUACCCCCUGGACUGGGAUAGCGGCGGGAAACUGCCGGUAAUACCAGAUAAUGUCUGCGGACCAAAGGUGUGAUUCCGCCGGGGGAUGAGUCCGCGUCCUAUUAGCUAGUUGGUGGGGUAAUGGCCCACCAAGGCAAAGAUGGGUACCGGGUGUGAGAGCAUGGCCCGGCUCACUGGGACUGAGACACUGCCCAGACACCUACGGGUGGCUGCAGGCGAGAAUCUUCGGCAAUGGGCGCAAGCCUGACCGAGCGACGCCGCGUGCGGGAUGAAGGCCUUCGGGUUGUAAACCGCUGUCAGAGGGGAGGAAAUGCAUGAGGGUUCUCUCUCAUGUUUGACCUAUCCUCAGAGGAAGUACGGGCUAAGUUCGUGCCAGCCGCCGCGGUAAAAC
rnacentral:rRNA from 1 species